UACGUAGGGUGCGAGCGUUAAUCGGAAUACUGGGCGUAAAGCGUGCGCAGGCGGUUCGUUGUGUCGGCGGUGAAAGCCCCGGGCUUAACCUGGGAAUGGCCGUUGAAACUGGCGAACUGGAGUGUGGCAGAGGGGGGGUGGAAUUCCGCGUGUAGCGGUGAAAUGCGUAGAGAUGUGGAGGAACACCAGUGGCGAAGGCGACUUUCUGGGCUGUAACUGACGCUGAGGCGCGAAAGCGUGGGGAGCAAACAGG
rnacentral:rRNA from 1 species